AUUGAACGCUGGCGGCAGGCCUAACACAUGCAAGUCGAGCGAGCGGCGGACGGGUGAGUAAUGUAUGGGGAUCUGCCCGAUAGAGGGGGAUAACUACUGGACACGGUGGCUAAUACCGCAUACUAUCGGAUGAACCCAUAUGGGAUUAGCUAGUAGGUGGGGUAAAGGCGCACCUAGGCGACGAUCUCUAGCUGGUCGGAGAGGAUGACCAGCCACACUGGAACUGAGACACGGCCCAGACUCCUACGGGAGGCAGCAGUGGGGAAUAUUGGACAAUGGGCGCAAGCCUGAUGCAGCAAUGCCGCGUGUAUGAAGAAGGCCUUAGGGUUGUAAAGUACUUUCAGCUGGGAGGCGUUACCCGCAGAAGAAGCACCGGCUAACUCCGUGCCAGCAGCCGCGGUAAUUC
rnacentral:rRNA from 1 species